UACGAAGGGGGCUAGCGUUGCUCGGAAUCACUGGGCGUAAAGCGCACGUAGGCGGACUCUUAAGUCGGUGGUGAAAUCCUGGAGCUCAACUCCAGAACUGCCUUCGAUACUGAGAGUCUCGAGUCCGGGAGAGGUGAGUGGAACUGCGAGUGUAGAGGUGAAAUUCGUAGAUAUUCGCAAGAACACCAGUGGCGAAGGCGGCUCACUGGCCCGGUAUUGACGCUGAGGCGCGAAAGCCAGGGGAGCAAACGGG
rnacentral:rRNA from 1 species